GUAGGGAAUAUUGGUCAAUGGACGAAAGUCUGAACCAGCCAUUCCGCGUGCAGGAAGAAGAUUCUAUGGAUUGUAAACUGCUUUUAGCAGAGAAGAAACGCCUUCAUUGAUGAGGGUUUGACGGUAUCUGCGGAAUAAGCACCGGCUAACUCCGUGCCAGCAGCCGCGGUAAUACGGGGGGUGCAAGCGUUAUCCGGAAUCACUGGGUUUAAAGGGUGCGUAGGCGGGAAAUUAAGUCAGUGGUGAAAGUCUGUUGCUUAACGAUAGAAUUGCCGUUGAUACUGAUGUGCUUGAAUUGGGUUGAGGUUAGCGGAAUGUGACAUGUAGCGGUGAAAUGCAUAGAUAUGUCAUGGAACACCAAUUGCGAAGGCAGCUAGCUGGGCCUUGAUUGACGCUGAGGCACGAAAGCGUGGGUAGCGAACAGGAUUAGAUACCCUGGUAGUCC
rnacentral:rRNA from 1 species